UACGUAGGGGGCUAGCGUUGUCCGGAUUUAUUGGGCGUAAAGAGCGUGUAGGCGGCCAGAUAGGUCCGUUGUGAAAACUCGAGGCUCAACCUCGAGACGCCGAUGGAAACCAUCUGGCUAGAGUCCGGAAGAGGAGAGUGGAAUUCCUGGUGUAGCGGUGAAAUGCGCAGAUAUCAGGAAGAACACCCGUGGCUAAGGCGGCUCUCUAGUACGGUACUGACGCUGAGACGCGAAAGCGUGGGGAGCGAACAGG
rnacentral:rRNA from 1 species